AGAACAAGGAGCGCUGUUUCGAAGGCGCGGCUAGAGGGGCCCCUUCCUCCACCCCCGCUUUUCCGAGGGUUCCUGGUCGGCUCUCCCAGCAGCCCCUCCCGCACAGCCCAGCUGCGGGCGGGAGGCGAGGCGUCGGGCCGGGGUGUGGUAGCACCUCCCGGAAGGCGGUUUUGCCCUGUGCGCUUGCAGAUUUGGAGUGGGGGAGGGGAGGCGCGCUGCCGGCGGCUCCCUGGAUGUCAGCGGUUCCCUCCAGGAAAGGGAGUCGGCCCAGAGGUCUUGACCCUGUCCCGCGGGCUCCUGGGGACGCCUAGCUCGGGGUGGCCCGAGCGAGGCGCCCCGGCUGGCCGCGCGCGGCCACGGACUGCGGCAGCUCCUCCGGCCGCCGUAGUCGCUGGCGACCGGGUGACAUUUUGAGGGGUCCCCGGCUGCCCCUGCUUCCCAACCCGUGACGGGCCGGCUGAGGUUGUUGACGAUCAGGGCUGCUUUCCUUUUAAGAUGUACUUUCCAAAUAAGAUAACUUGCUUGCCUGCUUUUCUCCUGAAAUUUUUCUCCAGAAGAAUGGUCAUGUAUGGAUGUGAGAGUUGGACUAUGAAGAAAACUGAGCGCUGAAGAAUUGAUGCUUUUGAACUGUGGUGUUGGAGAAGACUCUUGAGAGUCUCUUGGACUGCAAGGAGAUCCAACCAGUCCAUCCUACAGGAAAUUAGUCCUGGGUGUUCAUUGAUAGGACUGAUGUUGAAGCUUAAAUUUCAAUACUUUGGCCACCUGGUGCAAAGAACUGACUCAUUAGAAAAGACCUUGAUGCUGGGAAAGAUUGAGGGCAGGAAGAGAAGGGGACGGGACAGAGGAUGAGAUGGUUGGAUGGCAUCAUCGACUCAAUGGAUAUGGGUUUGGGUGAAUUCUGGGAGUUGGUGAUAGACAGGGAGGCCUGGCAUGCUGCGGUUCAAGGGGUCGCAAAGAGACAGGACUGAGCGACAGAACUGAACUGAACCAUCUCAAUCUCUGGCAUAAAAUCACUUCCUCAAACUACUUGCUGACAUGUGAAAUUUCUUAAGAGGGAAAACCAAAUUUGUAUUCCAUAGCCAUUGGUAAGAGUUUAAUGUUUAAGUGGCUGAAGAUUGUGUAUUGGCAGUAAGUUAGACUGGUGCCAGCCCUGUGGAAAACUAGUAUCCCUUCUCUGUGUUGACAUCAGAAAUUCCAUGCCUCAGGAGGUUCCCAGUGUUUCAGAUAACACACUGAAAUGUUAGAGCCUCAUUGAAUUCAGCAUUUAUGAAGCAAAACCUGCAGGAACAACUGCAGUAUUUAAGAAAGACAGAAAAAAAAAAAAAGAGUUCAUUUGAGAUUUUAAACAAAUCACUUUUAUCCAGAACAGGAUAUACACACUUAAGUCAAGAAAUCAUAGUUUUAAUCUGCUAAAUACACUCUACAGGUUAGGAUUCCAGGUUUUCACCGCCCUGGCCCAGGAUUAGUUCCUGGCAGGAAACAGAUCCUGCAAGCUGUGUGGCAUGGCCAAAAAAUUUUUUAAAUAAAUAAAUAUACUCUACAAAUGGAGUAAGCAAAUUUGUGCUCAGAAGUGGAAUACACAUUCCGUUCAACAACCUAGAAUAAACUGUCCGGAAGAAAGUGCAAGCAGAACCAGUUUCUUACGCAAGGUACACAUAGUUGAGCCUCUUCUGCAACCAUGCUGAACAUUUACUCAUUUGCAGGACAGCCUCAGGAGGAUUUAAGCUUUUUCUUAAAGAAUUCGCUUGUGAUUUUAGGUGAAGUAACCAUUUGCCCUGGAGAAGGCAAUGGCACCCCACUCCAGUAUUCUUGCCUGGAAAACCCCAUGGAUGGAGGAGCCUGGUGGGCUGCAGUCCAUGGGGUCGAGAAGAGUUGGACAUGACUCAGCGACUUCACUUUCACUUUUCCCUUUCAUGCAUUGGAGAAGGAAAUGGCAACCCACUCCGGUGUUCUUGCCUGGAGAAUCCUGGGGACGGGGGAGCCUGGUGGGCUUCCGUCUAUGGGGUCGCACAGAGUUGGACAUGACUGAAGUGACUUAGCAACCAUUUGCCCAAAAAGUGAACAUUCUCAGUCAUCAUUCUUGGUUACCAGGAAGCUCUCUUUGCACUUAGAAAACAUAGAGUCCCUGUCAUUGUGAACUGUCAGAUUUUAGCUUUAGCAAGUCUGUCAUAGAGUUUGAGUUAUGCUUGACCACAGAGAUGUCAGUAGGGUGCCUUUUAAUUCAGUUAAAGCCUAGCUCAAAACAGAUUCAAACAAUUUUAAAAAGUAAUUAUCCCAUAUCCAACUGCCUACUUAACUUCUGCACAUGGUUGUCCCACAGGCACCUCAAGGUUUAAGUGUGCAAGACUGAGCUCACGCUCCCUACGAAUCCGCUUCUUUGGUCUUCCUUCUUGUCUUGGUAACUGACUCUUCCACCCACUGGUGUGCUCCUGGCAAAAAUCAGGGAAUCCUUGAUACCGCCCCCACCUUCACCCUGCAUCUCCAAUCAGUCACCAACUCCUACCUCUAAAAUAUGUCUUCAUUCAUCCAAAUGCUUCUUAGAACAUUAAUGGUGGGUUAUUAAAGCUAGAUUUAUUCACAUUCAACCAUGUAACACAUGACAAGGUACAUUUCUGGCACUGGGAAUGUAACAGUGACCAAAGCAGACGUCUUUGAUCUUAUGGAACUGACAUUCUAGUGGAAGAGACAAACAAUAGGCAAAAUGUAGUAUAAUCUUAGGUAGUGAUAGGAAGAAUUAGCAAGGUGCUAGAGAUAGAGUAGGGGCUUUCCAGGUGACACAGCAGUAAAGACACCUCCUGCCAAUGCAGGAGAUGCAAGAACCUGGGUUCUAUCCCUGUGUGGGGAAAAAUCCCCUGAAAUAGGAAAUGGCAAGCCACCACAGUAUUCUUGCCUGGAAAACUCCAUGGACAGAGGAACCUGGCGGUCUACAGUCUAUAGGCUUGCAGAGUUGGACACGACUGAGUAACUAAAUACGCACACAGAGGGUAUGUAUUUGUUUUGGCUUUAGUUGCAGCAUGCAAACUCUCGGUUGCAGCAUGUGAGGUCUAGUUCCCCAACCAGGGAUCGAACCCAGGUUCCCUGCAUUGGGAGUUCGGAGUCUUAGCCCUCGGACCACCAGGGAAGUCCUGAUUUUGUGCUAUUUUAGAUAGUGUUCAGAGAAGACCCUUCAAGGAGGUACUGUUUUAAAUAGAACCCUGAAGGAGGUGAGGAAGAAAGUCGUACACAUAGCUCAGGGAAGACUUUACAAGACAAAGACAGAACUGUGCUGGGCACUUUCAGUGAACAAUAGAGUCCAACGUGGAUGAACAGAAUGAAGGCAAGAAAGCAUAACAGAGCAUUCCUAAAAGAGACCCAGAAACCAGGUCACCCAGGACUUUGUAAGCUCCAUUAGUUAGCACUUCGCUUUUAUUAUCAAUGUGAUGAGAAACUAUAGGAGGGUUUUGAGCAGGGGGAGAAUGUGACCUCACUUAAAGUGGCCAGAAGAAUCCAGAUUAAUGAUAAUCUGGAUUCAAGUAAUCUAGAUCAUUCUGGAUGUUGUACAGACCGUGGAAUGGUAGCAGGAAAAUGAGUCAGAAGGCGGUUGUCAUGAGGGGCCUUUCACCACUGAUUUCUGCUGAUGACAGGCUAAUCUCCAAAUAAAGUGUUUCUUAUGUGUGGUCAUAUGAGUGUAUUUUUUCCUAAAGUGACUUUCUACAAAGAAAAACACGCUUUGAUACAGCAAAGGAUCAUUGCAAAUAAAACCAAGAAUUGAGUUACUAAUAACAUUUCCCAUAAAAAAUAAGAUGAACAUUUUCAUUAAGUUCAGUACUUUUUCCUUUUUUACCUGCCCCUUUCUGAAGCCCUGGGGUGAAAUUUUGGUUAACUGCU
ensembl:lncRNA